UUGUGUAAAAAAAAACAUAGUAAAAUCUAACUGCCUAAGCUGGGCGAUUGCUUAGUAGGUUGUUGAGUUCGACUGGGAUGGAAGAGGAGACAACAGGACACUUGAGCGAUGCACUACACCAACCACAUUCGAUGCAUUCCAAGGGCCUAUAACAUCAUGCACAAGCGGGACCUGGAGCUUUGCUUUCUUUCAGCUUUACUCUCCCACUAUUGAAAACAUUCCCUCAAGGAUCUGCACACGAGGCUGCUAAACAAGAUUUAAUAUGCAUCAAGAUUAUCAAAGGCUGAAAUGUGUAUUCCAAGCUCAUCAAAGGAACAGACAACUUUGGCAAUAGGCAGCCGUGAAGCAAAGAAACAUCAUGGAACUUGUUCAAGAGAGCAUCAAACAUCCAACGCACAAAAAGGAACCAGCUGUACAAAUGGCAGAGAGUGAACAUCAAACAUCAAGCCAGGAGUCCUGUAGGAUUCAGCUCAUGGCGAAGGCUUCAGGAGGAAACCCCAAGGGAAAAAUCCAGAAGUGGAGCCCCUAAGGUAGUCCUACAUUGAGUUCAACGCUGACUGGCAACUCCUGUGACGCCACUGGUGCCAAACUGUAUCAGUUUCUGCUAUUCCUCAGGAUUCAUCAGCUGCAUGGAGUGGGGCAACAGGGGAUUAUCACCAGGAUCUCUUUCUGUUUGGAAUCCUGUACUUGGUAACAAUUUUUGAGCAGACGUUGUGUGAAGAGCUUCUCUUUUACCAAGGUGGUCCCUGCACUCCUUAUGGAUGAUGUACUUUGCAAUCUGAAUACUAAAUACCGUGUCAGCCUCAGAGAACAGCUCCUUCAUGUGGUACCCAGGACAGAAUAUGCUGAGAAUGAAGAAUUGAGAGCAACACACAGAAAAUGCUGGAGGAACUCGGCAGGUCAGGCAGCAUCUAUGGAAAUGAAUAAACAGCUGAUGUUUCGGGCCGAGACCCUUCUUCAGGACAAAGAAUCUAGAGCAGUUGUAAGGCAGUGCUGCAUUGUCGGAAGUCUUUGCUUUCACAUCCGCAUCUGCUCUCUCAGGUGCUCGCAAAACAAAGAAACGCAAUCGACUUCACGGAAGACCACGGCAUGUGUGCAAAAAAGGACAAAUCGUGCAAAUAGCGGGGGAAAAAAGUAAAGAAAUAACACAUGGAGCAUGAACUGCGGAGGCUCUGACAGUGAGUCCACAACUACGGAGUCCGUUCAGCCCUUGGAUGCAGGGCAACAAUUGCUUCUUAAAAUGUUGUGAGUCUACCUGCCUCCACCACCACCUCAGGAAGUGUAAUCCAGAUUCUGACCAUAUUAAAUUCACAGUUAUAGAGUAGUACAGCACAGAAGCAGACCCUUCAACCCCUCUAGACCAUGCUGAACCAUUUAAACUGCCUACUUCCUUCAACCUAUACCUGGACCUUAGCCCUGUCAUCCAUGUACUCAUCCAAACUUCUCUCAAACAUUGAAAUCAAGCUCACAUGCACCACUUGCACUGGCAGCUCGCUUCUCACCCUCACGGCCUUCUGAGUGAAGAAGUUUCCCCUCACGUUCCUCUUAAAGUUUUCACCUUUCUCCCUUAACCCAUGACCUGUAGUUGUAGUCCCAUACGUUCCUCCUCAGUCCUCCUCUAAAUUUUCCAAUCUUUCACCUUAAAAGGAUGUCAUCUUGUCUUAGACUUGCUUACUGCAGUACCUACCCUAUCUAUCCCCUUCAUAAUCUAUCAGUUCAUUCCCUGGCCUCCUCUGCUCCAUGGAAAACAAAGAAAUCCAGUUUCUUGUAAAUCUCAUGCUCCAGUCCAAGCAACGAAUUGGUGAAUCUCGUUUGCACUCUCUCCGGAGCAAUCAUAUCCUUCCUUUAUUGUGGUGUCCAGAAAAGCACACAAUACUUCAAAGGUGGCCUUACAAAAAUUUUAUUAAUUUGUAAGAUAAAAUCCCAGCUCUUAAUAUUCUCUGCCUGGGAGCGCCAAUGAGAGCAUCCUGACAAGUUGCAUCUCCAUCUGGCCUGGGAGCAGCCGAGCAUCGAAUCACAAGAUCCUACAAAAGACUGUGAGAACGGCCGAGAGGAUCACAGGGGUCUCCCUACCAUCCAUCGGGGACACUUAUCAGGAGAACUGCGUACGCAGAGACCUUAGUAUUAUCAAGGAUCCUCCCCAUCCAUCCAGCGUCCUCUUUGACUUUCUACCAUCAGGCAGGAGACUCCGAUGGUCAGGAUGAGAAGCAGCUUCUUUCCUCACGUCAUUAGGCUUCUGAACUCCUUGUCGCAUCGCAUUCAAAGUCAAUCUGUUUAGUGCCCGACAAUAUUUAAUUUCUUUACUUUACUUUGUUUAUUUAUGCAUAAUUCCUCUGCAGAUUUUAUCCUCACUUUCAUGUAUUAUUGUUUGUUUUUAUGUGUGUUAUGCGUAUUACUGUGCUUUGCAUCCUGGUCCAGAAAAACAUUGUCUCAUUUGACAUGUAUGUAUGUAGUUAAAUGACUAUAAACUUGACUUAACUUGACUUGAUAGCAAGCAUCCCAUAUGCCGCCUUCACCACUUACCUACCAGUGCUGCCAUUUUCAAGGAUUUCAAGGACUACUUCAACGCUCCAUAGGGGCCCAACUUUUAUUGUGUGUGACCUAUGUUUAUUUCUCGUCUCAAGAUACAUCAGCUGAUACUUCUCUGGAUUAAACUGCAUCUGCCAUUUCUCCUCCCAACUUUCCAUGUUGAUCUUUAUCAUGCUAUAGACUGCCCUCCUUGCCUUCUCCAACACUGCCAGAUUUAAUUUCCCUCGUAACAGUAGAUGCACCAGAGCAUAGCUACGAACACUGGGUUGGACUGCAGUUAUUACUUGGCAACCUUAAGCUUCUGGUCAUGGCAUUAAAAGUGAUGAACAGUGAGAAAGAUAGUAACAAUCUGUGGGAGGGUGUAAAUUGGCUGGCAGAAUGAACAGAUGAAACAGUACAGAGAUACGUGAUGCACUUUGGCACAGGGCUGAAAUGAGACAACAAGCUGUAGAUAAAAGGACCUGACUGAAAGACUGACCUGAAAAUUUAUGUGCAUUAACCCUUGAUAGUGGCAGUUUAUGUUAAGAUAGUGGUUAGUAGAGGAAAUGAGAUGGCGAUAUUGAUAAAUAAAGGUAGAUAGAACAGCGGUUGUUACAGAAAUAGUAAUGUAGUAUCUUUCUAUACAGAUGGAGAUAGAGGACCUUCAUUGCUGCCCUAAACACCAGUGGCAUUAUGGGCAGUAAGUAAGUACAACAGUAGUGAUUUGAACCUUUUCAAAAAUCGGUCAGGCCACAGCUGGAUAAUUCCAUCCAAUUCUGUUCACUUCACCUUCAGAAGGAUAUUGGAGAGGUUGUAGGAGGGAGAUACUAUCAUGGAUCUAGGACGAGUGAUUGUUCUUGUUGGAGCAGAGAUGCUUGAACUGAAAUUUAAUAAUAGUGUGCAAGAUCUCCUGAAAGGUUGAAGAGAAGGAAACUGUUUCCAUAACGUUUCAAGUAUCAGGAGGCACGUUUAAUGAAUUGGGCAAAAGAUGUAAAGCAGAAGUGGGGAAGAACUUUCUCACCAUCCGCAAAGAAGGUAGAUGAUGCUUGAAUGGAAUUGGACAGACAUCUGAAUGAAGAUCGUUGGUAUGCAAUGGGGAAGAAUUGGAGGAUGGGGCUAAAUGGAUUCCUCUAAAGCAGGGGUCCCCAACUUUCUUUUAGCAAUGGAUCAAUACUGUUAAGCAAUAGGGAGCCCCUGCUCUAAAUGGAGAACAUUAGCACAAGAGGUUCUGCAGAUGCUGGAAAUCCAGAGCAUCGCACGCAGAUUAAUGGAGGAGCUCAGCAGGUUAGGCAGCAACUAUGGAAAUGAUUAACUAGUUGACAUUUGGGCUGAGACCCUUCAUCAGGACUGGAAACGAAGUUUCUGAUUUCUUCCCCCUUCCUUUCCAGUCCUGUUGAAGGGAGA